GAUGAAGAACGUAGCGAAAUGCGAUACGUAAUGUGAAUUGCAGAAUUCAGUGAAUCAUCGAGUCUUUGAACGCACAUUGCGCCCCCUGGUAUUCCGGGGGGCAUGCCUGUCCGAGCGUCAUUGCUGCCCUCAAGCACGGCUUGUGUGUUGGGCCUCCGUCCUCCUCCCGGGGGACGGGCCCGAAAGGCAGCGGCGGCACCGCGUCCGGUCCUCGAGCGUAUGGGGCUUCGUCACCCGCUCUUGUAGGCCCGGCCGGCGCUUGCCGACACAUCAAUCUUUUUUCCAGGUUGACCUCGGAUCAGGUAGGGAUACCCGCUGAACUUAAGCAUAUCAAUAAGCGGAGGG
rnacentral:misc_RNA from 1 species